ACUGGCAGCUGGGUACCGAUUCAUCACCGACGUGUUUAAAGUAUCCGUGUGUGUGCCUCCAAAAACCGUUUGUGGAGACAGCAGAGUGCCCGAGGCAGGAAACCGCUCCGGCCUGGAGGCGCCCCUGCCCGGACUCGUGGACUGCAGCGCUGUCCCGCUCGGAAGCCGAUCCUGGGAGUCCGAGCGGGGCCGCGGGGCCUGCGUGGCAGCCGAGUCGAGGGCUUCGGGCCGCGGGGCUGUGGAGCGCCCCUUGGCGCUGGGCCGCCGGCAGCCGUGAGCGCAUCACUGCAUUUCCCUGGAGGAAUUCCUCAUCUGUUGAAUGAGGGAGUUGAGGCGGACACGCUGGGAAAUGGCUUCGAGCUCACACACUGAUUUUCGUGAGUGGAAAGAGAAGCCCUUUCUUAGGCGUCUUCCAUACCACUGCAUGUUCCAGGGUCCUCCCUGGGCUCUCUGUCUCCCACGCCACCGCGAGCACGGCCUAAGCGGGCGAGCGAAGGCGCGACGGCGCCGAGAGCCGGCUGUGGUGGGUGCCGGGCGCGUCACCGCGGGCUGGCGGGGGAGGGGACGCUGGGAAGCUCUCCAGAAAGAGGAGCCGCCACCGAGCAAAUUCCCAUCUGCCACGCACCGCAGAGCCUCGCCCUCCGCCGCCAGCAUUUUCUUUCUUUGUUCUCCUAGCCCUACAAACGCUGGGUUUCCUUUCUCAUUCGUGGACUUUUUUCCCUGGAUCCUUCUUACUGCUCCUACCCUGUGGCCGCACGUCUGGCAGAUGCGCGGCGGGCGCUGCCUGAACCCCCGAAUCCUCACAAGCCUCUGUGCAGCGGCCACGGCCCUCAGCUAGCGGCGGGGAGACUGAAGCCGCAGGGGCCACAGAGGUUAGGAUUCCCUAGGACUUCCUAGAACCACCCC
rnacentral:lncRNA from 1 species